UUUGAAAGAGAGGCUUAUAUAAGGCAUUACACAUAAAGUAGCUAAAGUAAAUAAACAGCUGGUAGUGUUUGUCGGAAAGUAAACAACGACACAGGAGCAAUGCUGAGUUGUCGGAUGCAGGAUCAAUGGUCGUUGACUCCCUGUGUAUUAGCUUCCUUGAACUGUUGGAUGGAAGAUCCAUUCUCCAGGAUACGUUUGGCAUGCUGGAACAGGGGAUAACUCGCGUUAGCCUCACAGUCCAGUAGCGACUUUAUCAUGGUGUUCCAAGAUCUCCGCCUUCCUAUCAUAGACCGACUAGGAGUCGACGACACGGGACACCCAUGUCACCUAGAACUUGGAAACUUGGUAGAGAUCUGUGCGAGGCAUUGAUGCUUGAGGCUAGCACAAAGGAGGCAAUGGUGGCUUCGGCCUGGAGCACAUAGAGGGUGCGACAGCGGCUUCGGCCAUCAGCACACGGAGGCUACGACGGUGGCUUCGGCCUGCAACAUAUGCGGAGGUGACAGAAGGGAAUGAUUAGGGUUGUGACUGGUAGUCGCCUGCUGUAGUUUUG
rnacentral:lncRNA from 1 species